UAUAUAUAUAUAUACAAUAUGUUACAUUACUCGGUAGUCAAAUAUAUAUAUAUAUAUAUAUUAUGAUAUAUAUAUAUAUAUAUCGCAUUUUUCGUCAUAAAAAUUAUAUAAAAAUACAUAAAAAUAUAUAAAAAUAUAUAAAAAUAUAUAAAAUCUUCUUGACAUAACACAGAAAGCAUGUUCUAUCCGUUUUCUUUAGGGGACCAAAAACGUAACAGAAAUUUAGUCACAUGUGGGCAUGAUCUGAAAAGCUCUGUCCUUGUAUUUAGACAUGUGGUAGGGUCUAAGCUGCUUUUCCAGAUAAGCCAUCUCUCCAUGUCGCAUAAACCGCACCUGUCCGCUGCCGUUAGUGUAGGGCUUACAUCUGUCAAAAUCUUCCAUUGUAUUUAUAAUCGACACCUUUAUCUCUUAAAGACCAAAUAUGAUUGGAUAAAUUGUGUCGUUUUCUUUUGAUUCCAGUGCCUAAGCUCAAAGUGUGGUUAUUGAACCUGGCCUUGAAAUUACCCUCUGUCAGGCCCACGUAUUUCUUCGUCGAAACGGUGUCUUUAGUGGUUAUAGAGUUUACGGUAGCUUCAUAUAUGAUGGUCUUGGACAUGCAAGCUCCAUUUAGCAGUAACAAUUCUUUAUUCCUGCAUGAACAGCUGUUUUUUCUUGUGUUUUUUGUAUGUUAAUUGAUUAUGUUUUUAAAAUUGGUAGUUGAACUAAAACUAAUUUUUAAAUUGUGUCUAUUGAAGAGUUUCCUAUAAGCAUGAAGUUAACUGGAAAAUGUCUAUCUAUCAGUGCUAGGAAAUAUUUACCUAUAUUGAAGGCCACCUCGGGUGAGUAAACCAGAUGACCUUCCUAUUUCUAUUAUUCCUUUUCAUUACUGUUGGGAUGGUGAUAGGUGUAUAUUUUAUUUUUCGCUAAAAACCACUAUCUUUUAAAGCUUUAUUAUAAACUGGGGCAACGCUAUUGAAGAUGUCCUCAUUAGAUGAGAGGAGAAAUCCUCUUACUAAUAUUUUUAACUAAAUUUUUGAAUACUAUAGGGGGAUGGCAUGAACCUACAUUAAUAUAACUUAGUCUAUCAUUGGGCUUCCUAUAAGGUUUAUAAAUAUUAUUAUUAAGAUCUAAGGAAACGUCUAAGAAAUUGACAACCGUCAGGUUAGUGUCUAUAGUUAUACUAAGUCCGAAGUGUUUCAUUAACUGGAUAAUAUCCUUCCUAAAACGAUCUUGUGCUGGUCCAUUUGUAUUAGCUGUUAAGGCGAGGGCAUCAUCUUUGUAGAUGGCGAAAUGUACGUUAGGGAAUGUCUUACUGAAGGUAUCUAGGAGAAAGAGUCCAAUUAGAUCACAGAUGCCUGCCCCAUCAUAUGAACCCAUGCUCAAAAAAGAUAUUGAUCAUAUAAAAAGCUCCAAGCGUAAGACAUUCCCUAACGUACAUUUCGCCAUCUACAAAGAUGAUGCCCUCGCCUUAACAGCUAAUACAAAUGGACCAGCACAAGAUCGUUUUAGGAAGGAUAUUAUCCAGUUAAUGAAACACUUCGGACUUAGUAUAACUAUAGACACUAACCUGACGGUUGUCAAUUUCUUAGACGUUUCCUUAGAUCUUAAUAAUAAUAUUUAUAAACCUUAUAGGAAGCCCAAUGAUAGACUAAGUUAUAUUAAUGUAGGUUCAUGCCAUCCCCCUAUAGUAUUCAAAAAUUUAGUUAAAAAUAUUAGUAAGAGGAUUUCUAGCCUCUCAUCUAAUGAGGACAUCUUCAAUAGCGUUGCCCUAGUUUAUAAUAAAGCUUUAAAAGAUAGUGGUUUUAGCGAAAAAAUAAAAUAUACACCUAUCACCAUCCCAACAGUAAGGAAAAGGAAUAAUAGAAAUAGGAAGGUCAUCUGGUUUACUCACCCGAGGUGGCCUUCAAUAUAGGUAAAUAUUUCCUAGCACUGAUAGAUAGACAUUUUCCAGUUAACCAUGCUUAUAGGAAACUCUUCAAUAGACACAAUUUAAAAAUUAGUUUUAGUUCAACUACCAAUUUUAAAAACAUAAUCAAUCAUAACAUACAAAAAACACAAGAAGAAAACAGCUGUUCAUGCAGGAAUAAAGAAUUGUGCCCGCUAAAUGGAGCUUGCAUGUCCAAGACCAUCAUAUAUGAAGCUACCGUAAACUCUAUAACCACUAAAGACACCGUUUCGACGAAGAAAUACGUGGGCCUGACAGAGGGUAAUUUCAAGGCCAGGUUCAAUAACCACACUUUGAGCUUUAGGCACUGGAACAAAAGAAAAGCGACACAAUUAUCCAAUUAUAUUUGGUCUUUAAGAGAUAAAGGUGUCGAUUAUAACAUACAAUGGAAGAUUUUGGCCAGAUGUAAGCCCUACACUAACGGCAGCGGAAGGUGCGGUUUAUGCGACAUGGAGAGAUGGCUUAUCUGGAAAAGCAGCUUAGACCCUACCACAUGUCUAAAUACAAGGACAGAGCUUUUCGGAUCAUGCCCACAUGUGACUAAAUUUCUGUUACGUUUUUGGUCCCCUAAAGAAAACGGAUAGAACAUGCUUUCUGUGUUAUGUCCCAAGAAGAUUUUAUAUAUUUUUAUAUAUUUUUAUAUAUUUUUAUGUAUUUUUAUAUAAUUUUUAUGACGAAAAAUGUGAGCGAUGUAUAAGUACGCAGGCAAAGCAGAGUUAUAACAGAGUAAUUUCCCUUCAUUUUUAACGGUAUUUUUUCAUAACGUUUUCAAAUAGCCAGAUAACCGAAGAGAUGGUGUUGUGGAUUUCCACUUCGGCAUCUGAAACUCAGAGUUUUAUCUUGACUACCGAGUAAUGUAACAUAUUGUAUAGAUAAAUUUCCUCUAUUUACAUAAUAUUGAGGUCUCUUUCUUUCUUUUGUUAUCUUACCGUUUUAUCAAUAUAUAUAUAUAUAUAUAUAUUUAUUUAUAUACGUACUUAUGAGUAUGUAUAUAUAUAGAUCAUGGAUAAUGCAUCCCAAAACUGUCAAAAACAUGGUGAUAAAGUAUAUUUUUUGCAAAAAUAUUUGUAAUAUUCCACGUUUGUGUGUAUGUAUCUGUGUGUGUAUGUGUGUUGUAUAUGCUUACAUAAUGUAUUCAAAUACAUAUGCACACACACACAUAUAUAUAUAUAUAUAUAUAAAUAAGACAAAGUAGAAAAUGCUAAAAUAAUUUUAUCACGAAGUACAUUUUGGCACCGGUUUCCGACUUUUAGACUUUUUCAACAAAGAGUAGAAUAAGAAAAACAAAUUGGAGAAAAAAAAUUAAAUGAAAUGUUUUGUAGGUAUUUCCAUAGUCUUCAGAUAGUCUGUUUCUCGCUCUAUUCCUUUGUGAAUAUAUGUGUGUGUGUGUGUGUGUGUGUGUGUGUUUCAAAAUGUGACCGCGUGUGUACCGUUGGCGAUUUUUUUUCGUCUGUCUUCCCUUCUCUGGAUCUUUCCUUCUCCUAUGUUUCCGACGAAGAGCUCCGCUCGAAACGUUAAACCCUCUUUCUUUCCUUCUUUCCUGAGCGUCCAAUAAUACUAUAUUUGUUCCACGUCCUCGCGUUGUUGUGUUUUUUUUUGUGCUUUCUUGUUUGGAUUAACUUUAUAUAUAUACAUAUAUAUAUAUAUAUAUAUAUAUAUAUAUAUAUAUAAUAUAUAUAUAAGUAUGUAUAUAUAUAAAUAAACAUAUAUAUAUAUAUAUAUAUAUAUAUAUACAUAUAAGUAUGUAUAUAUAUAUAAAUAUAUAUAUAUAUAUAUACAUAUAAGAUGUAUAUAUAUAUAAAUAGACAUAUAUAUAUAUAUAUAUACAUAUAUAUGUAUAUAUAUAUAUAUAUAUAUAUAUAUAUAUAUAUAUAUAUAUAUAUAUAUAUUAGAGUCUAAUAUCAUCUGAUACAAAAAUAUGCCUUCUGGCUCUUAUAAGAAGGAAAUGUAGCACAAUGAUGAUUUCAUCUAAUAAAAAUAAAAAUUAUUUUAACUAAUAAAAGAACAUUUUGACUAAUAAUUGUGAGGUCAGCAUUGCCCAAACUGGAUAUAGGUAAGGUAUAUGUGUCAUAGAAAGAAAUAAAAAGAAAAGACUCGGAAAGAAGAAUAUGAUGAAGAAAACAGAUAACAAAGUUAUAUAAAUAUUUGAUAUAUUUUGGUAACUGAGGGAUUUUGAAACGUAGCAUAGAAUGACUGUUUAUGGUGAUGAUGAUGGUGGUGGUGGUGGUGGUGAAGACGAUGAUUGUGGUGGUGGUGGUGAUGAUGAUGAUGAUGAUGGUGGUGGUGGUGGUGGUGGUGGUGGUGACGAUGAUUGUGGUGGUGAUGGUGACGAUGAUUGUGGUGGUGGUGGUGAUGACGAUGAUUGUGGUGGUGGUGAUGAUGAUGAUGAUGGUGGUGGUGGUGAUGACGAUGAUGGUGGUGGUGGUGAUGACGAUGAUUGUGGUGGUGGCGGUGAUGAUGAUGGUGGUGGUGGAGGUGCUGGUGGUGGUGGUGAUGACGAUAAUUGUGGUGGUGGUGACGAUGGUGGUGGUGGUGAUGAUGAUGAUGGUGGUGGUGGUGGUGGUGGUGGUGGUGCUGGUGGUGGUGAUGAUGACGAUGAUGAUGAAAAUUAUCACCAUCACCUUCGUCAGCAUCAGGGGUGGCUGUAGCAGCAGCAACAGCAGCAUGAUCGUCAUUUUCGUCAUCGUCGUCGUUGUCCUCACCAUCAUCAUCAUCAGCAGCAGAAGCAGCGAUCAUCUUCAUUGUGGUCGUCGUCUUCAUCGUUGUCACAUCCAUUGUAUAUCUUCACCAUCAGCAGAAGUGGCGGUAACGAUCCUCCUCCCCUCCUCCCUAGUCAUCAUCAUCAUCAUCAUCGUUGUUAUCGUCAUCAUCAUCAUCAUCGUUGUUGUCGUUGUCAUCAUCACCAUGAUCCUGAUCAGUAACAGUAGCAGUUCUAUCAUUGGCAGAAGGCGACAUAGUGUAUUUUAUUUUAUUCAUCCAUUUAUUUACUUAAUUAUUUGGUAGUGGUAAUGGUGAAUAAUGGUUAAUUAUAUCUUACCAGAGUUGUAUUAACUGAUACUUUUCUUGUUAAUCAACUCCAAUAGGUUGUAAAACAAAGUUAACCUUGUAGAAUUCUACAGACGAAUGAAUUGUUGUAAAUGCAUUUUGCUUCCGCUCAGUAAAAAUAAACAAUAACAACAUCAGCUAUAAUAAUAAUAAUAAUUAUUAUUAUUAUUAUUAUUAUUAUUAUUAUUAUUAUUAUUAUUACUAUUAUUAUUGUUAUUAUUAUUAUUAUUAUUAUUAUUAUUAUUGAGUGAGAGAGCAGUGCAUUCCAUUAAAGUGGCACUGGGGUAAAAUAUAUGAAGCCCAGUAUAUCCAUCAUGACUACCCGCCUGAUAAGAGUACACUAGGCACAUGCAUCACAACCAUAUGUGCGCGACAUGGCGAUCUCAUAUCAAGAUAAACAACGCAUGACCUUGCAGGUGGGGCCCAGUUAGAAUUUUCUUCUGCUCGAGUAGCCCAUCCCACUCAAAAGGUCCCUGAAUAAGGGUUGUUUAAGGAUGUUGAACAAAACACCCGUGUUUCCAGAGGUGUUAUUCAAACUCCAAAGAAUCCCUCUCAACACAUGGCUAUGAUGCUCCCCCACUACUUCUGCUCGUGAUCAGUGAUGCACAUAUCGUCAGCCACUAAGGGGCAUGGUCAACUGGUUAUGGUCAAACAACUGACAAGCAAAUCUGUGGUAUUGAGAAUAUUUGCUGUAGCCCAUCACAACUAUAUGUGCCAUGGAUCACAACCAUAUUUGACUUCGCUUUUCUGGAAUAUUAAUUUCUAGCUUCUAAUCCUUUGAAUAGAGAAAUCCCACAGAAUUUUGUAUUUCUCCGAAUUCAGCACUCUUUCGACCUAGUGGUAAUACCAUGUACCUCCAGUUUCAAAUCUCCAUUCUUGACAACUCUUCUAGUGUAAAUCUUUCACGACUUAAUAAUAAUAAUAAUAAUAAUAAUAAUAAUAAUCGUUAGUACUUCGGACAAAAUGCUUAUCGGCAUUCCGUCUGUCUUUACGUUGAAUUCAAACACUGAUGAUGAGAUUGACUUUGCCUGUGCAAAUAUAAUUUUGUACAAAUGGGUUGUGCGUCUCACUAUUUCUGGGCUUCAUGUCGUCUCACGGUUCUGAAGAAUAUGCAGGCACUUCUGCAAGCCUUGCUCCAUCGAUGAUGAUCACACUGUCUCACACAUUGGCCAGUGCUUCUGUUGCUCCUUGAGAACAAACUGAAGGCUCAACAGCUUUUCACGGGACAGAUAUAUGUCACGCUUCUCGUCCCGCUUCUAAGAUAAAUUUUUCAAGUAACAAGGUACUUGCUUCUGUUACGUACUACUGCCAUGCUUUCAGUUACGAUUGGUUUCUUUUGAUUAAUAAAAAUAGCUUCUGUAUUCUGCAGCAAUGUCAGUAAAACUGCUACUAAUAGUCUAGCACGACAAAAUAUGCGUAGUAUAAAAGUAUUUACAGUUCUCUCAAAACCAUCGAUAGGCUUAAUCACUAGUGUUAAUAUCUACAGAAAUAUAACUGUCACCUUCUUGCAAAGUGAAGGUGCACAUUUACAAAAAUAUUCUUGUGUAUUUUUUUUUGUUUCGCUUUAUGGGUUGUUGUGUCCAUUCAAGUUUUUCUUUGAGGAGGCAUUGCCACCAUCUCUUGUCACUAAAUAAAUGUGUUAAAAAUUGUCUUUUAUCACAAAGAAAAUACAAAGGCAAAUUUUUCACCCGCUUUCGGUGCCCUAAGUACGCAUUUCCCAACGCAGAUAUAAUCGUUCAAUUGUUAGAAAGAUAAACAAUAUAUAUACAUUCAAAUAGGAGAGAUGCGUGAGCACGUUUUACCAAACAAGAAACAACAAAAAAACAGCUACGACGACUACUAACCCCAACCACGACGCUGGUGAUGACAACGACGACGACCGUGGCACUGAUAACGACGAUAACUAUGAUAAUGACGAUGACAGCGAUGGUGAUGAUUAUAAUCAUGAUAAUGAGGAGGAUGAUGGUUGAUUGAUUGAUUGGUUGAUUCUAUAGAUCAAAGGCGACCAUAACGUUGAGGACAGCGCAAAAACAAUAAAUGAGAAACAAUAGUGGUUACAUUGAACAGAAAUAAGAAUAACGACACAUUAAUAUAUAAACAAUUUCCGGGUUCAGUCCCACUGCGUGGCACUUUGGGUGAGUGUCUUCUGCUAUAGCCUCGGGCCGACCAAAGCCUUGUGAGUGGAUUUGGCAGACGGAAACUGAAAGAAGCCUGUCGUAUAUAUGUAUAUAUAUGUAUGUAUGUGUAUGUAUAUGUUUGUGUGUCUGUCUUUGUCCCUCUAGCAUUGCUUGACAGCCGAUGCUGGUGUGUUUACGUCCCCGUCACUUAGCGGUUCGGCAAAAGAGACCGAUAGAAUAAGUACUGGGUUUACAAAGAAUAAGUCCCGGGUCGAUUUGCUCGACUAAAGGCGGUGCUCCAGCAUGGCCGCAGUCAAAUGACUGAAACGAGUAAAAGAGAUAGAAGAACAAUAUAGAAGACCAAAAUAUGAACGAGGGAAACUCUCCAAAAUGGAAAAAAAUAAAUGGGGUGAUUCUGAUUGCACCGCUUGCACAACCCGUGUUACCCUAACACAAAUCAAGAGUACUUAUAAAUUGUCCAUAUCUUCAAUGUGGAAGUUCCCCUUAAGAUGAUUGUUUUCAUUAAGACUAGAAUCGUUCCCAGGUCACCAUCCCUUAUACGCCUCAUUAGCUUUUUAUGAAAUACAAGUUGUGUCGUUCCACUGGUUACGUUGACCAGCAACGGUGGUGCAAUGAACACUCGUCAAUAUUCCGAAGCGGGAAAGCUUGGUGAGCGAUAUAAUAUAAACCGCAGAUGCUAAUGCUUAAAGUAAUAUUGUGUGUGAAUGUGUGUGCGUAUGUAUACGUGUGUGUGUGUGUGAGGGGGUGUGCGCGUGCAUUCGUGCAUGUGAUUGGGUGUGUGUAUGUCAUCAAGUCAAAUUCGUUUUCAACUGUUUUGAAAACGUAAAGGAGGUACCAACCACAUGGUUCCGGGUUCAGUCCCACUGCGUGGCACCUUGGGCAAGUGUCUUCUACUAUAGCCUCGGGCCGACCAAAGCCUUGUGAGUGGAUUUAGUAAACGGAAACUAAAAGAAGCCUGUCGUAUAUAUAUAUAUAUAUAUAUAUAUAUAUAUAUAUGUGUGUGUGUGUGUUUGUUCCCCAACAUCGCUUGACAACCGAUGCUGGUGUGUUUGUGUCCCCGUAACUUAGCGGUUCGGCAAAAGAGACCCAUAGAAUAAGUACUGGGCUUACAAAGAAUAAGUCCUGGGGUCGAUUUGCUCGACUAAAGGUGGUGCUCCAGCAUGACCGCAGUCAAAUGACUGAAACAAGUAAAAGAGUAAAGAGUAUAGUUCUAGAAGACUAGAUUGUCACGACUGGAGCCAUUUUAACCCUAGGUCUACAAAAACAACGACACCAACCACAUGAUAGAUUCUGGGUAACAGCGUUUUAUUUGUGUGAAUUCAUGGCUUUCGCAACGCUGUGGAAUAACAUAACUGAAUUGAAAGCAACGCACAAGAAAAUAUUAAGAUGUUUCAACAUUAUAAAUGUGAAAUAGAAGAUAUUGCUCACCAGAGAAUAUCAAAGAUUCGAUCCUACCAAUGAAGAAAGGAUCAUAAAUAUAAGGAUUUGGCAUCUGCUAAGUUAGGCAUAACCGUGAUUAUUACAAGAAUUAAGAUUAAUAAGCAAAUACUUUAAAAAAAAGACAAGUGCUUCGUUACAAAUAGCUAGCUAGAAUAAGAAGAAAAGUAUUGAUAAUGUAACGAGGGAACCUCUGCAUUAUCGCUCAAAGUGCAUAAAAAUAGAAGCCAAUUCACUUACAAUUUCACGAACUAAUGAAGGCAGCUCUAUGUGGUUGUCUGAUAUGCUGCAAUCAGCUAUCAAAUUUCCAACACCUUAGAAUCUUAAAAAUUGGAAGACAAAUCGGAUAAUGUAGUCUUAAAUUUACUAUCUGCAAAAUAAAAAAAAAGCGAUGGCCAUAGCAGGAAUACCUUUGAUAAUAUGUCUGCUAACAUGAAAUUGUACAACAACUGUUAAUAUGAAAUAUAUUAGAAUCCAAUGUUACUAGCUGCAAUUCGUUCCCAUAUUCGACAAUCUCCUGUAUAAACUGCUAUAACCUAAAGAGGAAAGAACAACUGUAAUAAAUUGUCGUUUUAUGACGAAAUAUGUUUUUCACCCGUUACCUGAUGUGAUAUUCGUAUUUUAUGAUAUCCUUCACCCGCUAUCUAAUGUGAUAUAUGUAUUUAUAUGUCCUGAAAACCUUGGGUAGAAGACAAAUAAGUAUGAUAUAAUGGGUAGCAAAUAUUGGAGAAUUAUUACACCGGAAUGUAACUACAGCUGACAAUUUCUAAUAGGCGUAACAUUAAAAAUAUGAUAGGAUGCCGAGCGCAAUUACAAUGCGUGUGUAAAGACGAGGAGUUAUAGUGAAAAUAAUACAAUAAUAAACACAUGAAAACAGAAUGAUACAGACAGUUUGAGAGAGAGACAGAUAGACAGACGGAUGGGGGAAAAGAGAUUUAGGUAGGUAGAUUCUGAAGCUGUUUAUGCCAAGGAGAUUUUAACACGGAAAUAGGGAGCCUUCAGGUAGUUGUCCAUCAAAAAUCUUCAUAUUGCAGGGAGACAGAAUAAAGCUCACUUAUUUAGAAGCUGAAGUGAAAAUGUCUGCGGGUUUAAAAAUUUCCUCUCGCAAGCAUGAGAUGUACGGUUUGAUUCCACUGCGUGGCAGCUUAGUGAAGUCUAUUUUAACAUAAGCUUUGUACGUAUUUCCUCUACACAAUUUCACUGGCCUAAGUGUAAUUGGUUAGACGGAAAGAAACUCGUUGGAUGAAUGAUACGUGCAAUUCAAAGGGACAACCUGAAAUAUUUUGAAUCUUACUGAGUAUUUCAUUAAGGAUACUAGUGUCUGCGGAACACUCAACCACUUACAUUAUAGUUCAAACUUCAAAUUCCAGGUUGUUCUGUUGAUCGAACAACUGGAACAGUCGUCGUUGAAACCGUCCGAAGAUUCAUCGUACAUCUUUAUAAUUGCCAGUCGUGGAAUUUUCAGAAUAGCCAUGACAAAAUCCAUUUUUCCUUUCUUUUGCUUUCAUCUUUUUUACUUGUUUCAGUCAUUUGACUAUGGCCAUGCUGGAGCACAACCUUUAGUCGAGCAAAUCGACCCCAGGACUUAUUCCUUGUAAGCCUAGUACUUAUUCUAUCGGUCUCUUUUGCCGAACCGCUAAGUAACGGGGACGUAAACACACCAACAUCGGUUGUCAAGCGAUGUUGGGGAACAAACACACACACAUAUAUACACAUAUAUAUAUGUAUAUAUACACAUAUAUAUAUAUACACAUAUAUAUAUACAUAUAUACACAUAUAUAUAUAUAUAUAUAUAUAUAUAUAUAUAUAUACACGAUAGGCUUCUUUCAGUUUCCGUUUGGUCGGCCCGAGGCUAUAGUAGAAGACACUUGCCACGCAGUGGGACUGAACCCGAAACCAUAUGGUUGGUAAGCAAGCUACUUGCCACACAGCCACUCCUACGCCUAACUGUACUUCUUAGAACUUUAACCAAUAUAGCCAUUCAUCCAUUCAUUUUCCGUUCACUAUUUUGGAGGUGGUCGUGGGAGUAGAGAGCUCAGAUACCUUUUCCAUAGAGUCCUAUCAGAGGCAACCAUCAUUACGUUUUAUUUGUUUUUUGGUGGAUUCCCGAGUGUUACCAACUGAAAUUAUGGAAUACCGUUUUCAAAUUUUGGCACAAAGCCAGUAAAUUCAGGGAGGGGGUAAGUCGAUUACAUCGACCUCGUAUUUAACUGGUACUUAUUUUAUCGACCUCGAAAGGAUGGAAGGUAAAGUCAACCUUGGUAGAAUUUCAGCUUAGAAGGUAAAUACGGACGAAAUGUCGCUAAGCAUUUUGUUCGGCGUGCUAACGAUUCUGCCACCCCACCGCCUUGAAACUAUGGAAUAUUUUCCAACCAUGUUGUUGUUGGCCUAUAUCUAUAUCUCUUGCCGGUUGGCUCGGUUUGAACAAUCCGUUUUGCAAUCCAUUCUUGUGACAUUCUAAUCACAUGUUCGCAGUACUGCCACAGUGGCUUUUCAAGGCGGAGAAGUAGCAGAAACACCUGGAGAGAGUUCUUCAUCUCCCAGCUUCGCACCCUGUAGAGAAACGUCAGUAGUAUGAAACUCCAGCAUGUAAAAAUGCAAAAUUACGAGGGAACUGAGAGCGAAAAUCAAGUCUCAAUUCCCAGGUGUUCCCCGUUUUCACUUUCAAUUUGGUUAAUAAUUAUGUAGGAAAAGAUAUAGACGUUGUAUAGUUUCAUUUUAUCUUCUCUAUGAAUGCAAGAACAUGUGUCACUUUAUUCUUGUGCCAACCGCAAUAUUUUAUACAUAAUUUUAUCUGCAAAACUGGGAUGCGACUUGCUCACAAAUAAAUACGAAAAGUAUCGGUAACAAAACACAAAACCUUCAACUACUAACAUCUAUUUACACGAAUAGUGGAGGCGCAAUGGCCCAGUGGUUCGAGCAGCGGACUCGCGGUCGUAGGAUCACGGUUUCGAUUCCCAGACCGGGCGUUGUGAGUGUUUAUUGAGCGAAAACACCUCAAAGCUCCACGAGACUCUGGCAAGGGUUGGUGGUGAACCCUGCUGUACUCUUUCACCACAACUUUCUCUCACUCUUUCUUCUUGUUUCUGUUGUACCUGUAUUUCAAAGGGCCAGCCUUGUCACACUCUGUGUCACGCUGAAUCUCCCCUAGAACUACGUUAGGAGUACACGCGUCUGUGGAGUGCUCAGCCACUUCCACGUUAAUUUCACGAGCAGGCUCUUCCGUUGAUCGGAUCAACUUGAACCCUCGUCGUCGUAACCGACGGAGUGCCACGAUUUACACGAAUGCCAUUGAGCGAGACGCUAAAUGGUUGACCGACAAGCUAGAAGUAGUGAUCAUAUCUCCCUCAAAUCACUUCAUGUCCUCUUAAUGAAAGGCUACAUUAAAUAAUAGUCGUACAUACAUUUUAGAAUGCUUUGAUUAUUUACGGCUGAAGUGCUAAAUAACAGCAGCAACAUGGAUGUGAGAUGGAAAAUACUUCGAAUACGAGUAACAUACAAAGUUUAAUUCUUAUGUUAAUAACAAUCAUAAGGAUAAUCGUUUUUAAAAUAUCAAAAAGAAGAUUUAGGGGUGAGACUUAGUAGAUUAAACGAUCCCCGUGCUUGUCUAGUAUCUUAAUUAUCGAAACCAAAUCAAUGAAAGGCAAAGUUAAUUUCAUCGAGAUUUGAAGGCAAAACGGGAAGGGGUAGAACAAAUAUUUCGUGGCAUUUUGAUCGCGGCUCUAACGAUUCUUAUUUCUUUAUUGCCCACAAAGGGCUAAACACAGAGGGGACAAACAAGGACAGACAAAGGGAUAACGUCGAUUACAUCGACCCCAGUGUGUAACUGGUACUUAAUUUAUCGACCCUGAAAGGAUGAAAGACAAAGUCGACCUCGGCGGAAUUUGAACUCAGAACGUAACGGCAGACAAAAUACCUAUUUGUUUACUACUCAUAAUGGGCUAAACACAGAGAGGACAAACAAGGACAGACAAACGGAUUAAGUCGACUAUAUCGACCCCAGUGCGUAACUGGUACUUAAUUUAUCGACAUUGAAAGGUUGAAAGGCAAAGUCGACCUUGGCAGAAUUUGAACUCAGAACGUAGCGGCAGACAAAAUACCGCUAAGCACUUCGCCCGGCGUGCUAACGUUUCUGCCAGCUCACCGCCUUAUACGAUUUUCUAACGAUUCUGUCAAGCUACCACCGCCGUUAUUUUCUAACUGAAGCACGAGGCCGCCAAUUUGGGGGAGAAGUCAGUAGAUUACAUUGUCUGCUGUACUUAACUGGUACAAAGUCGACAUCAGCAGGAUUUGAACUCAGAGCACAAGGAACAUAUGGAGAUCUUGACUAAUUUAGCGCAUCUGUAGAUUACAGAUGCAACUGAGCCGAAGAGAAUUUUACGUUGCGUAUGUAUGAUGCUCCUUAAUAAUAAACUAUAAUAGUAAAGUGAACGGGUCUAUACAGAAAACUUGCAAUUCUGACACUCAUUACAUCUUCCUCUGAUGCAAACACUGCUUUCAUUUUACGAAAUUCUAGAGACUAACGAAAGAAAAGACUUUUAAUUCAUACUUUUUCGAUAUCUUCUAUUACAUCUUUAAAAGAUAACUAACUUCCCUAAGUUCUUUAAUGUAAAAAUUUCGAACUACUCUCCUAAAUAACUGUCACAAGACUCUAUCCAAUAUCAGAUUUCGUUUUAUCUAAAGGAAUUUGCUUUCUAAAAUUGAUUGAUCUAGAUAUUAUUUUUGUUGUACAUGCAAGGAAAGAAAUCUUUUAAUCAGUGUUGAAGUGACUACUGUUUAAGUUUAUUAAUCUUCAACACGUGCUUUAGUCUUUAAUAGUGCUACUUCCAAAAUUGACCCGGCAGCUUCGUUAUCAGUGUCAUUUACAUGGUACCAUGCAUUUAUCGUUAGCCAUUGGCACUAAUAACCGUAACAUAAACACUCCAGGCAGUUUUCUGAAAUCAUUAUGUUAAUGAUAUACAUUAUCUAGCUAUCCGUCUAUCUAUCUAUCUAUCCUUCUUGUUAUCUCUCUCUGUCUAGUUCUCUCUCUUUCUCUAUCUGUGUGUGUAUAGCUAUUUAGUUACGUGUGAGUUCGUGCAUGUGUGUAUGUAAGUAUGCAUGUAUGUAUAUAUGUACGUUUGUAUUUAUAUAUAGUGUGUUCGCAUGCAUGUACUGCAUAUGUAGAGAUGGAAAUGCAUUGAAAUCGUAAUGGUAAAGCUUUAUGAACGACGUGGAAUGUUUAUACACUCAACCGGUUUUAACAUUUUUAUGAUUUUCACGUCUUUGUAAUUAAUGAUGUAAUAAGUUCAUUAUUUCUUAGCUGCUAUUUUCAAUGAGGUUACAACUGCAUACGUUUAUAUGUAGAUGUCGACAGUAAUAGAUUAGAUAAUAAGUGAAUAUUAACAAUCACAAUGAAGGUAAUUUGAAAAAUUUCAAGUUUCUUGAUCAAUACUGAUAAUAAAUAUAAAUAUAGAUUAAUUAAACAUGAUUAUUUAAAUGCUGUUGAUAUUUUUCAAGGAAUAUGAACUCUUUAUGUAUCUGUUGUUACAACAUUAAUAUGAAGAAAAAAAUUAUAUUUGAUUUAUCAUUUCUACUGCUUAUUGCUAUAUUUUUACUGCGAAAUAUUUUCUUGUAUCCUGGAAAUCGAAUUUACUCUGUAUGCAGAAUUAUUCGUUUUCUUAAAAACACGCCCGUUUGUCCUAUAUAAUUCUCUUAACAUACUGAACAAAUUAUUAUGUACAUUAGGUUUCCAAAUAGACAGGAAAAAUCAUUUUAUAUUUUGACGAUAGUUCUUGUUUAAACUGAAAUGCUGAUCUAUUAAACAAAUAACAACAAAUUUCCUAGCUGAGUCGCUCAUACUUUCUGACCGAUGGUUCUAUUGCAGCUGAAUAUAAUUUAGCAUCUGUUAAUAUUCUCUUUAAUCAUUCUAGUUGUCUUUUACUUCUUAUAAUUAUAUGUACUUUCAGAAUUCUAUUGUUUCUGGCAUUUUUUCAGCAUUUGUAAAUAAUUUUGAAUAAUAUUAUGGGAUUUGUUGUUUCAUACAAAGACAUCGGUACGUGAUCAUUAUUAUAAUAAUAUUGGCCACAAAAUUCUUUUUUUAUCUAAAGUCUAAAACUAUAACAAAAACGACACUGAUUCUAAUCUUACCAGCAAUUUUGCUGUAAUUUCUCGAAAGACGAAACAAAACCUCAGCUUAAAAACAACAAUAAAAACAACAAAAAUAUAAAAAGAUAACGAUAAAAACAAUUACACUUUUUAAAUAUACACAAUAUUUCCUCGGUUAUGCAAUAAUUAUGAUACUAGUCUUUUUGGCAAUCCUGUCAUUGUGAAUGACAUUAAUAACGUAAAUACUAGAAGAGAUUAUUACUAUUAUUAUUAUUAUUAUUAUUAUUAUUAUUAUUAUUAUUAUAUUUUUUGAACCAGUUGAAGACACACAAGAUGUCGAAAUAUCGUUCACUAAAUAACAAUGGCACUCUUCUUUUAAUUUUGACUCUAUAUCUUCUGGAGGAGUUACCUCAAUCCUUUAUAUAUUAUUAUUAUUAUUAUGAUUAUUAUUAUUAUUAUUAUUAUUAUUAUUAUUAUUAGUAAGGCGGUGAGAUGGCAAAAUUGCUAGCACACCGGUCAAAAUGUUUAGCGAUCUUUCUUCCCGCUUUACGUUCUGAGUUCAAACUGCGCCGAGGUCAAUUCUACCUUUCAUGCUACCGGAUUCGAUAAGCAAAAUAAGCACCAGUUGAGCACUGGAGUUGAUGUAAUCGAUAAUUUCCCUUCCAUAAAAAUUUCUGAGCUUAUGGCAAUAGUAGAAUAAAUUAUUAUACUUGCUGUCGCAGCCAUUGUUGCUAUUCUUAUUACUAUCACUACUGCUAUUGCUUCUAAAAUAAUGAUAAUAAUAAUUGAUUGGAAAUGUUAUCACUUACUGAUUGGAAGUGUUAUCAUGUACGUUGUUUUCUUUUGGUACACAAGAUGGGCUACAGCAAAUAUUCUGCUCAAUACCACAGAUUUGCUUGUCAGUUGUUUUGACCAUAACCAGUUGGGCAUGUCCCUUGGUGGCUGACGUUAUGCACAUCUCUGAUCACGAGCAGAAGUAGUGGGGAAGCAUCAUAGCCGUGUGUUGUGGAGGCACAUGGCCUAAUAGUUAGAGCAGCGGACUCGCGGUCGGGGGAUCACGGGUUCAAAUCUCAGACCGGGCGAUGUGUGUGUUUAUGAGCGACAACUUUCGCCACAACUUUUUCUCACUCUUUCCUCCUGCAUCUAGCAGCUCACCAGGGACGGACCGGCGUCCCUGCCAGGUGGGGAACCUAUACGCCAAUGAAACCGGUAAACCGGCCCUUAUAAGCCAGACAUGGCUGGAGAAACAAGAAACAAGAAUAGCCGUGUGUUGAGAGAGAUUCUUUGGAGUUUGGAUAAUUCACCUCUGGAAAUAUGAGUGUUCCGUUCAACAUCCUUAAACAACCUCCAUUCAGGAACCUUUUGAGCGAGAUGGGCUACUCGACAUGAAGAAACUUCUAAGUAGGCCCCACCUGCAAGGUCAUGCGCUGUUUAUCUUGAUAUGAGAUCACCAUGUGGCGCAUAUAUGUUUAUGAUGCAUGUGCCUGGUGUACCCUUAUCAGACGGUAGUCAUGAUGGAUAUACUGGGCUUCAUAUAUUUUACCCCGGUGUCACUUUAAUUGAAUGCACUGCUCUCUCACUCAAUAAUAAUAAUAAUAAUAAUAAUAAUAAUAAUAAUAAUAAUCUAGCGAAAAACUAGCUUACUGUUUGAACUGGGCUGUCAAAGUGUGAUUUCGGUUGAAGAAUUUUACAAUGGCAACAACUAAUCUUCAAAAGUAGUGAAGAAAGGGACUGAAGGAGAGAGAGGAGGGUAGAGACUGACAGACAGUCAGACAUACAGGAAGACAUAGAGUGGUGGUAAAGGACAGAGGGGAAGAGAAAGGGAAUGAGACAGAGGGACAGAGAGAGGCAGAGAGAGAAGAAAUAUAUGUGCUUUCAACAAUAGGUUCAGCGUUGUAGCAGUCAGAGUGUUUCAAGUAGCUAACUUUCAUAUGUCUAUGAAUGAAUAAAAGGGUACGUUUUGGAAAUUAAAGCUUUAAGCAACGAAGGACGUGUUAAUUUAAUGUGAGAACGUGUUAAUUUAAUGUGAGUCUAACGAAAAAACUAGCUUACUAUUUGUGUAUGUGUGACUUUGGCCGACGAAUUUUACGAUGUCAGCAAGUAAUCUUCAAAAGUAGCGAAGAAAGUAAUAGAGGGAGAAAGAAAGAGAGACAGAAAGAAAUAGAGAGUUUGGUAGUAAAAAGACGGAGGAACAGAGAAAGAGAGCGGGAGGGAAGAAUGACACCGAUAGGCUGUACUUGUCCAGAAGAAAGGGUGGGAGAGGUUUGAUCAGUUGCUAGGAUUGUAUCGAAGCAGAGAUAAAUAGCCAAGGGUGGUGUAUAAAAAAUGCCGUGGAACCACUGUUGAAACACGCGAAGAAGGCCAGCAUCACCAAGACUGAAAAUUGUGUAACUAAAGAAAAAUUUAAACAAAAAAUGAACAAAGAAAAAAUAAAAAGCAUGAAAGGAAUAGAAAAUGUACCGUCAGUUUGCAAGAGAUAUGAACGCCAAGACAGUUACAGAGGAUGAGUGGCUAUGGGAUGAAGGAGGAGUGACCUGAAGAUAGAGAAGACAGAAGCACUCAUAUGUGCAGCUCAAGAACAAGCAUUAAGGACUAAUUGUAUGAAAUGCAGAAUAGGUAACACAACCGAUAGCGACAAAUGCAGAAUCUGAGGUGCGAGGAGUGAAGCGGUAUGGCACAUCGUUAGCAAAUGCCCAAAAUUGGUACAACGCGAAUACAAAAGACGCCAUGACAAUCUGGAAAAAAUUAUACAUCGGGAGCUCUGUGGAAAUCACGGCCUACAGAGAGCAGAGACAUGGUAUGCGCAAACUCCAAAAGGAAUCACCGAAAAUGAGAAUUGCUAAAAAUCUUGUGGGAUGCAAAAAUUCAGUGCGAUCACAUGACCAGACAUCGGAAAAGGAAGAACAUGUAUGAUUAUCGAUAUAGCAUGCCCCAGUGACAACAGGAUCAGUAUGAAGGAAGAAGAAAAAAUAAACAACUAUGGCAAUUUAUAGUGGGAAAUACGAAGGUUGUGGUCAAUGAGGAGAGUAGACGUGAUACUAAUAGUAAUUAGUGCACUUGGAAGUAUCAGCACUCAGCUACUAACAUGUCUGAAAAAGAUCUGUGCAGGUGUGAAGGUAGAAUACCUACAAAAAUCAGCAUUGCUGAGAACUACAAGAAUUCUUCGCAGGGUUCUUGAAGCAUGACCAGUUAACAAAUGUCACUUUAGUCAGCUGACUGCAGACAGCUUACACUGUCAAUCAUACCCAGUAAAAUUUGCUGAGUUUUCAUCACAUAAUAAUAAUAAUAAUAAUAAUAAUAAUAAUAAUAAUGAUAAUAAUGAUAGUAGUAGUAAUAAUAAUAAUAAUAAUAAUAAUAAUAAUAAUAAUAAUAAGGAGGAGGAGGACAUGAAGGAAAAUUUCUAUUAUUUGCCAGAAGAUCAUCAAUGAGAACAUUAUAACAAUAGUAUAAUGUUUAUUCCCUUGCAAAAAAAAUGAGAUUGUAAUGCAGUACAAUAUGAUAUAUAGAAAAGGUAUGAUGCAAACACACACACACACACACACACAUAUGUAUAUAUGUAUGUAUGUAUAGUUAGACAGACAGACAGAUAGAUAGAUAGAUAGAUAGAUAGACAGACAGACAGACAGACAGACAGACAGACAGACAGACAGACAGACAGACAGACAGAUAGGCAGGCAGGCAGGCGGCUAGGUAGGUAGGUAGAUAGGCAGACAGGCAGGCAGGCGGCUAGGUAGGUAGGUAGGUAGACAGGCAGAUAGAUAGAUAGAUAGAUAGAUAGAUAGAUAGAUAGAUAGAUAGAUAGAUAGAUAGAUAUGAAGACAGACAGAAAGAUAGAUGCGCCUUAGAAUAUUUUUGGUGAUGGUAUGCAGAGCAUGCGCAUUUCGUAACACUGAAUGUGAAUAAUUUCGCCCUAUUUUGCUCUCAUUGAUAUUUAUGUGAGAAAAACCAACAGCAUAUGUGUGUAUCUAUAUAUAUAUAUAUACAUAUGUGUGUGUGUGUGUGUGUGUGUAUACUUGUGUGCUUGUGUGUAUUCGUGUGCGAGAUUAUGUAUGCGCAUGCAAGUUAGUGCUACUGGGAAAAGUGAAGAUUAGGGAGAGGAAAAAAAUAACAGAAAGAGAUAACAGAAAUGUUUAGAAAGCGACAGAAAGAAAUAGGUCGUGUAAAAAUAAAAAAAAAUAGUAAAUGAAGUUACGUAUCUACGUAUGUUUAUAUUUGUAUAAUGUAGGAGGAUAUACAUAGCUGAGCACAGUGAGAUGAUAACACCGACAACAAACGUAUCCCAAGUCGAUCACCAAAAGAUGAGAGAAAAAAGAUUAAGAAAUAUAUAAGGUGUACAUAAUAAAAAAAAUUUGGGUCGUUCGCCUUGUCAUUUUUGUUUUCUUUUUCUACCUCUUCCUUCUUUUCUACUCUAUAAUUGCUCUCAAAUUUCCUACCUACAAUUUAUUACGGAUGUAAAACCAUGGGGUAAGAUUCACAGUGGGGGUGAAAUCAACUGCGUGGUUGGAAAUGAAAAUAAAACUUGCGAAAUGCUCUCUAGUGUACUGAAGAAUAUGCGAUGAUUCAUCAGUUUGAACCGGGAAUCCCUUUAACGGGAAACAACUGAUAUGGAUUUAAUCCCAGUUUAGAACUGAUACGUUGUUUCUUUUUGUUCUGUUUUUACUCCUCAGCCGCUGAUUAGAAAAAUAUCUAAAUAUCCAUCAUUCAGUUUAACAGCACCAUCUCGACCUCGAUGUUUUUAGUAAAGUCCGUCAUUUUAUUGCAAGUCUGUCAUUUGGAUUCAAUAUCUGAUACGUUGCUGUCAUUUCUUCCUCACUUGCCUUCUAAAAGCCUUGGAAGUUCUGCUGAGGUCAUGGCUACUGUCCAUCCGCCUUUCAUAAAGCCAUACUAAGAAAACAACCAAACAACCCUAUAUUAAUCCUUGGUGGCAUUACUGAGAUAAAAAAAAGUCGUCACUCACGGUCAGAUAUUAGUAUGUUCCAUGUUACUUAGCUUCGCUUGUGGUAUUAAGACACAGACUCUCUCGUCAUUUCACCCUGCCUCCGACGAAACAUCUUGCACUGAUGGAGAGACAGAGAACUGCUCCAGUAUUGGUCGAAACCUUAUAUAUCAAUCUCAAAAGAAUGAAUGGCAAAGUUGGUCUCGGCAGAAUUUAAAUUCAGAGAGCAAAAAGCCGAAACAAAUAUCGCAAUGUAUUGUCUCUGAUGGUCUAACGACUGUCAAUUGACUAUCUAUAGCCGAAAUAAAGACUAAAGAAACUGAAAUAGAAUAAGGAGUCGAUACAGAGUUGCUAGGUAAAUUUGUUGUGAGCUUAUCUCAACUCACAUUUCAUUUACUUAGAAAAGAUCAAAUUUGACAACAGUUCCACCACAAACGAACUGCCUCAAGAUGCGAAGGAUAUGUUCUUAAGUAUAACCUAUAACAGUUGAUUUACAUUUACGUAUAGAUAAAAGCCACAAGUAACAAUUAGCCAAUGAAUAGAGACCUCUAAUGGAAGUGAAGUCUCCUCAAGUUCCUGAAUGCCAUCUAUAAAAAAAAAGAAUACAUAGAAUAAUAUAGUCUUAGACACACUAUUUCUGGAAAACAAAACAGGAUGAUCACGGCGGGUUACUUUUCAUCAUAGAUCUCCUCGAUGAAAGCUGACUUGGAGUUAAAGAACGUGAUGCUGUUGUUAAUGGAUACAUAGCACUUUCUGUAUUUCCAUUUCAAAUAUAGACAUCAGAAAGUAAAUAUCAGCCAGUAAUCCAAUUAAUGAAAACCGUAAUUUUUCUUUAAAUUUAAAGAAUUUCUAUAUUCUUAAUCAAUAAGAAAUGUGUCAGUUAGUCAGUGAUAUACAUUUUAGAGCAAAAAAAAUCUUUCUUACGGAAAUUCUUGUAAUGAGUAUACGACUAAUAUUUUUGGAUAAAAAUUCUCACUUUACCAGAAAUAGACAGAACAAUUUCUCGUGCAACAUAUAGUUCAUCAAAAAUUAAGUCCUUGUGAUGUCAUUAAUAAAAAGAAAAUUCGAAUACAGUUUUAAAACUAUGUUGUGUGGUUUCGUAUCAUCUGUAGUAGAAAUUUUUAAAAAUAUAUUUGUGUAUGUAUGUGUGUUUCUCUGUGCCUGGUUGACUUAAAAAUUACAAAACAAACACCUACAAAAGCGUAUAUAUACAUAUGCAGACAUGUGUGUGUGUGUGUGUGUGUGUAUACAUACGCUUUUCAGCACCUCAUUCUGAAGGUUUAUCCUUGUAGAGGCGCAAUGGCUUAGUGGUUAGGAUGUUACACUCAUGCUCAUAAUGUUGUGGUUUCGAUUCUUAGACAUGGCGAUUCGUCGAGAUCUUGAAGAAAAUACAUCAUUUCAUGUUGCUCUAGUUCACUCAGUCGGCAAAAAUGAGUAAACAUGCAAUGGAGCGGCGUCCCGUCCAUAAUGGUGCAAUCUAGACGCCACGGAAUUCGAGAAACAGGCCUUAUGAGCCUUUGGCUCGGGAAGGUCCUUUGAUCCUUUUGAUGUAUUCGUAGCUGUUUAACUCAAUAUGAAUAUAUCCAUAAUUUUGUUGCUAAAAACCAACAUUUUAUUCAUUAUUUCUAAAUAUUUCUCCUUCGAUAGUCGCUUAAUUCUGCCGCUAGACGGCUCUUUAUCUAUUACUUAUUCCAGUUGUCUUCCUUCUUCUUGGACAAUCGUUCAGUCAUUAAUAUCGGCGAAACCUUACUAUAUUUCACAUUGAUACUGUUGUUUUUACCCUAUUUGUCAUUAAUAUUUCUCCUUCGAUAGUCUCUUAAUUCUGCCGCUAGACGGCUCUUUUUCUAUUACUUAUUCCAGUUGUCUUCCUUCUCCUUGGACAAUCGUUCAGUCAUUAAUAUCGGCGAAACUUUUCCAUAUUUCACAUUGAUAAUGUUGUUUUUUUCCCUAUUUGUUAAUGCUUGCUUAAAUUAUUAUGAUUGUCAACAAAAGAGCCAUCACGUAUUUCACAGUAAUACUGUAAUUCUCCGAUAUGUAUUCUUUCGUAUGAAGACAGCGUUUAUCAUAAAUGCUUUCCUACAAAUUUCACAAAGGAAAGGUUUUCUUGCUUUUGUGAUUAGGAACGUCAAUGACAAGAUUCGAAUGAAAUAUUAAAUAUUUCUCACAUAUUUCUCACUGGUAUUAUAUUUCAUUGACAUUGUCAUACAUAUGUUGUUGCUUUUUGUUUUUUGUUGUUUCGGUUUUUUUUUUUUUUGUUUGUCUGUUUGUUUUAUGUUUGUUUGUUUAUUUAUUUUUUUAUAUUUGUUUUUUGUUUUUUUGCAUUGUCAUUUACUAAGGUAGAAGUGUACAUCUGGGCCAGAGUCUUUUAUAUGUAUGGCAUUAUAUAGAUAGAUAGACAUACAUACAGAAAGGCAGACAGACAGACAGACAGACAGACAGAUAGAUAGAUAGAUAGAUAGAUAGAUAGAUAGAUAGAUAGAUAAGUUUCUUUAUUGGCCACACAGGGCUGCACACGGAUGUGACAAGUUACAAGGUAGAGCUUUUCUUUUGGGGGAUGAAGAGAACAAAAAACAAAAGAAAAAAAGGGGGUGGCGUAGGUUUUCGAUCAAGAGGGAUCGUAAAAGAGAAGAAAAGAACAAAAACAAAAAAAAAAAUUGAAUAAAAUAAAAAGAAUAAAAAGAAAAAAAAGAAAAGGAAAAGGAACAAAAGGAAAGAGAAAUGAAAAAAGAAGAAAAAAGGGGAAAAAAAGGGGAAGAGGAAAAAAAGAACGAUCAAUAGGGAUCGUGUAUCACAGUGUUAUGAUAUAUGGUGUAAAGGGGAAAGCAAGUAAGGUUUAUCCGUGGGAAGAAAAGCCUACGAAAAAGACCACGGUAACCUUGGUCAAUAUUGUUAUAUGUUACCACAUUUGUUUGCAAGUGGGUAACCCUCUAGAUAGAUAGAUAGAUAGAUAGAUAGAUAGAUAGAUAGAUAGAUAGAUAGAUAGAUAGAUAGAUAGAUAGAUACAUGAGGUAUUCAGUUGAUGAAAAUAUUAGACGUGUAAAGACAAAACUGGUUGCUCAUUAAGCCUUCGGUGUGUCCGCUUCUUUAUAUUGCCUUAAGGGGGUGGAUUUUACUUGUUCGAAACUUAAAACAAUUUAUUGAAGGAAUUUUGUUGCAGUGACAAUUUAUAUACUUUUUUUUCGUAUGAUUAUCAUGAAGUCAACAAGAGUCAAUAGCAAGCCGCACCCCCACCCCCAUCUUGUGAGAUGAAAAUGCAAUGAAAAGCAUUCAAAUUGGCUUUUUUAACCAAGCAAUAUUUCUCUUUUAUCUUCUUUCACAUCUUGGGAUAUAAAGUCAGAAUUAUUAUGGAAUAUCAGAUAAUAUCAGUGCCAAGGACUCCAAAUUUGCCAUCAAGAUGUAGGACAAGAUACUGCGAUAGUCUGGGCUUCAGAGGUCCACAGCUCUUCAAUAUCCUCCCGAAGUACCUGAGAGACCUGCAUGGGGUGGAUGCGAAUGUCUUUAAAAUAAAGCUGGAUCUCUUCCUGUCAGGUGUCCCAGAUGAACCAACUUUACAGCAGGAGGUGCAGAUGAGGGCAGCUGCACCAAACUCUCUCAUGCACCAAAUGUCAAUUACUAAAAAGCAUUCGUGAAGUAAAAUGAUGUAGGGACACCGAAUGGCGGUGCCCCAGCAUGGCCACAGCUCGUGAGCUGAAACUAAAUGAAAUGAAAAUGAAAUGAAAAAUGAAAAAUAUUUUGGUAGAUUUCCAGUGCUACGGUCGAUAGAAUUUAGAGAUAUUAUGUUCCAAUCUAAUAGUUCUGAAACAUAUGCUAUGGGUAGAAUUGCUACGACGUGGAUGGCACAGAUGAUAUCUUUGAUUUCUAGAUGACUUUUAAAAUAUAAUUUUGACUAUUUUGAAAUAUGCAUUCGAAUCCGCGAUCCCUCGACCGUGAGUCCGCUGCUCUAACCACAAGGCCAUGUGCCUCCACCGCUUAAUCACACAGCUUUCGUAUAAUGAUUUACUUUCAAAUAUUCCCAAUUAUUAGUAGAAAGAUGAACUGUAGAUGAAUUGUCCCUCCAGAUAGAAUUUCAGACCAUCUCUCUAUUUGCCAGUCUGCAUCGUUGCACUUUAAACUAUAUUUUCUUUAUACAUUUUGACAGUUCAAGUGACAUGUUACUGUCCCUCUUAAACUGCUGGACAAUGCAGAGAAAUUUCUCAAAGUGGACACCACUAGCAGCGCACAAGUUUACUCUAUCCUUCAAACAGAGAAAAUGUAUGAUCUAGUCAUUCUUCUUCAUAUGUCGGACUCGGUGUUACCGCUCAUCUUCACGAAAUACCAUAUACAAACUGAAAGCCAUUAAAUUUAUUUCCACCCAUAUUGUAUGGCCUUGUGAUCAACUACUCUUGUCACACAUUGGACGAAUCCGGCUUUCACCCAAGUCUAUCGACAGAAUCGCCUCACAAUCAGGCAUCAACAAAACAGGGGAGGGCAUAUUCCUCUGUCGAGUGGUUAUGGCAAAAGUUGUUGUGUCUGAGAUGACAGUGGACAAACACCUGCCUCUUUGGUCAAGCUCCCAUUAACUAUUUCAAGUGCCCCUUGGAAAAGAAAGAGAAAGUGGAGAGAGUUCCCUCGCUAAGCGAAUUAAGUGGAUGGAACUGCCCUAAGCUGUGUCUGUAGGCUGGAGUAGCGGUUUACUGAUCUUUGUUCUCCAUUUACAGAUCAGAAAUGCUAAUAUAAUCCCUCCUCCCGCCAAUCUUUUGUGUCAUAUGUAAACAGUUGGCAUUUAGUCCCAAUUCAGAAUUUCCAAUAACAAUUAGGGUUAUUUGAAUUUUUUUUUUCAUUUCUCACAUCGUCAAUAAAAAGUUUCAAGUACUUAAGUAUGUUUUUAGUAAUUUCCUGUAAAAUAUCUGUCAGAUGGACCAGAAAUAAUCUCUAGUCAAUAGUUUUUCAUUAUGUCACUAAAGACAAUAACUGAUAUUUUAACACUCAUAUUUUUUUAAGCCGUGGAGGCACGUGGCCUAGUGGUUAGAGCAGUGGACUCGCAGUCGAGGGAUUGCGGGUUCGAAUCUCAGACCGAACGAUGAGUGUGUUUAUAAGCGGCUCCGGCAGAAGGUAUAUGGCGAACUUCUGCUGACUCUUUCGCCACAACUUUCUCUCACUCUUUCCUCCUGCAUCUUGCAGCUCACCUGCGACGGACCAUCGUCUCGUCCAGGUGGAGAAUCCUAUACGCCAAGGAAACCGGAAACCGGCCCUUAUAAGCCAGACGUGGCUCGAGAAGGAACAAGUACUUCUUUAAGCGAUGAAGUUAUUCUAUCAGAGUAUUCUUUACAGGUUAUGUGCGGGUGGUCUGUGCCUCGAACUCAUGUUGCAUGUUUAUACGCACACACUGUGAGUGUGUGUGUGUGUGUGCGUAUGCAAAUAUAUAUAAAUGUAUAUAUAUGCCUUUUAAAGCAAGGAAUACUACACCAUAUAAAGCAAGGAAUAUGGCGGAACACAGCAAUGCAGUGCAAACAUAACAGACCUGAUAUUGUUCUGUCGGACAGGGAACAACACUGUUGUAGAGGCCAGCUGCCAAGCAGAUGUUAAUGUACAAUCAAAAGUCCAAGAAAAAAAAGAACAUUUAUGGCGAAUUAGUGAGGAACCUACAGCUCUUAUAUCCUGACUAUACAUUCGAAUUUGUACUUCAAUUUAAUACUUCUACACAAAAACAUAGAAAUAGUAAGCUUUUCGAAAAAAAAAAUCAAGAGGAACUGAUACGGUUUCUCCAAAUCCAAUUUAUUACUAGCAUAGUGAAGAUUUAUAAGACAUUCCAAAGAUUCUACAUCUGAGAUUCUUUAGUAAAAAUUAGAUUCAGAUGAAUAUGGUACUUAAGUUGAGACACCAGAAUUUAGUACGGUAUUAUCCAUACAAUUUCAAAAUAAGGUGAUUAAAAUCAAAAUAAGCAACAAGGAUAUCCAGAGGUAAUGCAGUACGAUCGGAGUAGAUUAAUACACACAUUUGGGCGUGUGCAUUGACAGCGCAGCCAACAGAACAACCCAACCACAUAUUUACAUACACUGGGAACUCUCUUUACUCAAAAAAGUCUUGUUCCUUUGUUAGUGGCAGGAUUGAAUACUCUACAAAAAAACUUAAAUAAGUAAGACUUGUUCGAAACUUAAAUAAAUACGACUCAAAUAAAAAUACGUUCAUAAACAUACGUACAUAUACAUACAUAUGUGCAUACAUACAUACAUACAUACAUACACACACACACACACACACACACACAUACAUACAUACAUACAUACAUACAUACAUACAUACAUACAUAUAUUGUGUGGUAAGUAGCUUGCUUGCCAACUACAUGGUUCCAGGUUCAUUCCCACUUCGUGGCACCUGGGGCAAGUGUCUUGUACUGUAGCCUCGGGCCGACCAAAGCCUUGUGAGUGGAUUUGGUAGAUUGAAACUGAAACUAGCCCGUCGUAUAUAUGUAUAUAUAUAUAUAUGUGUGUGUGUGUGUGUUUGUGUGUCUGUGUUUGUCCCCCCCACCAUCGCUUGACAACCGAUGGUGGUGUGUUUACGUCCCCGUAACUUAGCGGUUCGGCAAAAAGGACCGAUAGAAUAAGUACAAGGCUUCCAAAGAAUAAGUCCUGGUGUCGAUUUGCUCGGCUAAACACGGUGCUCUAGCAAAGCCGCAGUUAAAUGACUGAAGCAAGUAAAAGAGUAUGUAUACAUACAUACAUAUAUAUAUAUAUAUAUAUAUAUAUAUAUAUAUGCAUGCAUGCAUUUAUGCAUAAUUUUCCAGAUAAUGUUAGUUGUAAUCUGUGCGCAAAUCUUGUGCAGAAUAUUUCCUAUGACAAAGUACACAUGUAUAAACUGAGUGUAUAAUAUAUAUAUAUUUAUUAUUUACUCAAUCAUGUUAAGCAGCUCACCGUUUGUGAUGACAUUAAGUUUUUUUGUGCCCUAUUAAAGUAACUUGUAUGCACGCGCAUACGUGCACAGCGUAGCGGGAAUAGUGGCCAAACUUGAUUGGUUAAUGCUGGUCCCCCACUAGUGCCACAACAUGCAUAUCACAAGGCCUACAUUUCAUAUCAUAGUUGUGUUUCUUAGGUUAUUUUUUAUGUUGUUGCUGUUUGUUUGUUGAGCGAAGCGGUCUUCGUCCCAGUGGUAGAAGUCCGAAACGUGGUCCUUUGCUCUUCGUAAGAGCCGCAGAAGAGAAAGCAAGUCAACCCCCGACACCGAGAGCAUCGAUGGAUGGAUGAAUGCGCAUCCAGGCUCAGCGGUUGCGUAGGAAGUCGGGGACAAGAAACAGGAAGAAAUAGUGAGAGAAAGUUGGAGCGAAAGAGUACAACAGGGGUCGUCACCACCCCCUGCCGGAGCCUCGUGGAGCUUUAGGUGUUUUCGCUCAAUAAACACACACAACGCCCGUCUGGGAAUUGAAACCACGAUCCUCCGACCGCGAGUCCACUGCCCUAACCAUUGGGCCAUUGCGCCUCCACUUGUUGUUGCUGUUCUUGGUUGUGGUGUUUGGCAUCAGGUUAAUCCCGAUGAAGUUGACCUUAGAUUAUAUUGUAUUCCAUCGGCUGCCGCUCAGUCUUUUUAGGUGCAGGUACAACAUUAACUAAUGUCCUUUUCUCUUACUUAAUAUAAUGUCAGAGUGUGAACUGAGGGAUACGUAACUACUGUUUCUGACAGAUCAACUGAUUAAAAGAAACUCUUUCAUUGACUCGUGGUGAUAAUCGUUCUGAUUAAAACUCAUCUGCUUCUGCUACUACUUCAGACCUGUACUUUUCAUUCAUCUAACCAAUAAUUUCCUGCAUAUUUAUCCUUGUGUUCCAUCUAUAGGUUUGUCUAACAGUGUUUUCUAGAUAGAAGAUUGAAUCUUCUUCAUUUGAGGUUUAAUAAGUUUGGCAGCUGCAGUUGCUGGGAUGUAGAGUGAGAUGUCGAGCUCACAGAUGUGCUUUUUUUUUUAAUGUCC
rnacentral:lncRNA from 1 species